GACGGAGGGUGCAAGCGUUGUUCGGAAUUACUGGGCGUAAAGCGCGUGUAGGCGGCUUGCUAAGUCUGAUGUGAAAGCCCGGGGCUCACCCCCGGAAGUGCAUUGGAAACUGGCGAGCUCGAGUCCCGGAGAGGAGGGUGGAAUUCCUGGUGUAGCGGUGAAAUGCGUAGAUAUCAGGAGGAACGCCGGUGGCGAAGGCGGCCCUCUGGUCGGUGACUGACGCUGAGACGCGGAAGCGUGGGGAGCAAACAGG
rnacentral:rRNA from 1 species